rnacentral:rRNA from 1 species
AUACGGAGGGCGCAAGCGUUGCCCGGAAUCACUGGGUGUAAAGGGUGCGUAGGCGGGGCUGUAAGUCAGAGGUGAAAGCCCUCGGCUCAACCGGGGAAUUGCCUCUGAUACUGCGGCUCUUGAGUCCCGGAGAGGCCGCUGGAAUUCCUGGUGUAGCGGUGAAAUGCGUAGAUAUCAGGAGGAACACCGGAGGCGAAGGCGGGCGGCUGGACGGGGACUGACGCUGAGGCACGAAAGCGUGGGGAGCAAACAGGAUUAGAAACCCCAGUAGUCC